CUCAACCAGACUCACACUUCACAUUCUGACACUGACAUUUUAGAAACAAGUUGAUAUUUUCUGGAAACUUAUUUUAGUUUUUCUGGAAAAUGAACGACACUGAAGAUGAGCUGACCACAUUUUGUGACUCUGCGGCAUCUCUUGUCGAAGGAUGUCGCCUACCAGUGCGAAUGCAAGGUGGAGACGAUUGGCCGUUAGCUGAAAUUAUAAGUAUCAAAGAAAUUCGUGGCCAAAGGGGAUAUUAUGUUCAUUACGUUGACUUUAACAAGCGUCUUGAUGAGUGGGUUGGAGAAUCAUGGCUGGAUACAAGAAAGGUACAGUUUCCGAGACGGGAUGGUGUCUCUACAGGAGGCACCACCACACCAAAGAAGGCACAUAUUGGUUCGGGAGGUGGAAUGAUGCCAAAUUUUAUUAAUGAUAAUACUGUCUGCAACGAAAGUCAGAAGUCUAGUACGAUUCCGAGUAGACCCACUAUUGUGAACCAACCAAUUCAACAAACUCAGCCACCCCAACCUAAAGUCCAUGAGAAAGCCCAUUUUAUUGCACACAAUGGUUCCACGCCAAAAAAUGCACUUGGUGUUGUUGCUGGGGAGCCCAGACAGCUGGUGUCGCGGCCCGCAAGCCCAACGCUGGGCAACGACUCGUCGUCGCUUGUCAACGGAGGCGCCGUACUGGCCGCCGCCUUACAGAAAAAAAUGAACAGAAAACGAAAAGCACCGUCCAUCGAUAAUGAAGAACCCAAAAGUUCUAAAACUUUUCAGGCGGAACCCGUUCCGUCUGUUGAGACUGAAGGCAGUGAGACGGCGGUGAGCGGGACGGCCACGCCGACAACGCGGCCGCGCCAGUCCGGUAGCAUGGUGGCCCACGGACACGACGACCUCGUCACUAGGAUGAAGAACAUCGAGAUGAUAGAGCUGGGCAGGAAUCGGAUACGCCCGUGGUACUUCGCGCCUUACCCGCAGGAAAUGGUGAACCUACCCUGUAUUUACAUCUGUGAAUUUUGUUUAAAAUACAGAAAAAGUAAAAAGUGCCUAGAAAGACAUCUGAUUAAAUGCAAACUAAAACACCCACCGGGCAACGAGAUUUACCGAAAAGGCAGCAUAUCAUUCUUCGAGAUAGAUGGCCGGAAGAACAAAUGCUACGCACAAAAUCUCUGCUUACUAGCGAAAUUGUUUUUAGACCACAAGACUUUAUACUACGAUACUGAUCCAUUUUUGUUUUAUGUUAUGACGGAAUUUGACGCCAGAGGAUUUCACAUAGUAGGCUACUUUUCUAAAGAGAAGGAGAGUACGGAAGAUUACAAUGUCGCUUGUAUACUGACGCUACCGCCCUACCAGAGGAAAGGUUAUGGCAAGCUACUCAUAGAAUUUAGUUACGAAUUAUCAAAGUUUGAAGGCAAGACAGGUUCUCCUGAGAAGCCACUCUCGGACUUGGGACUGCUGUCGUACAGAAGUUAUUGGGCACAAACUAUAUUGGACAUCCUCACACACAUUAAGCCGGUCGGAGAUAACGAGAAACCUAUUAUUACGAUCAAUGAAAUCUGUGAGUUGACCAGUAUCAAGAAAGAAGACGUCAUCAGCACUCUACAGAACCUGAACUUGAUAAAUUACUACAAAGGGCAAUAUAUUAUAUCUGUUAAUGAGCAACACGAAAAAGCAAUGGAAAAGAGAAUGCUACGUAUCGACCCAAAAUGUCUUCAUUGGACACCAAAAGAUUGGUCGAAACGGGCGAAAUGCGUUUGAAGUCAUAGAGUGUAACGAAGACGCGAGCUAUCUAACUCUGGCUUCCGAAACGUAAACGCCAGUCGUUUUGCAGCCACCGUGAGGAUUAUAACAGACAUCCCCGCUUCAACAACGUAUGUGUUCCGUAGUUCUCAUUUAAAUAGUUAGAAUUCAGCAGUUCUCAAAAAGUGUAUUUAGAUUUACGUAUAAUAUAGUAGUACAAAUGUAUUGAAGUAUUGUAUAUUCUACCUCGUACAUAGUAUUAGAUAGUGUCUAGUUUCUUAAUCAUUCGGUUUGUAAAUAGUUUUCCGUGUAUUCAAUGUUUCAUCGAACCGUUUCUAGCUAACAGCUCGAUGUAAUAAAAGGUAAGUAUUUCGCCAAAUUCUGGCAUAAUUCCGAUCUCAUACUUGUAAUUUAGAUUGAUUUAAACAAGCUUUUAAUUUGGUCUAACUCUGUGCAUAUGUUUUACUUAGUAUAGCAUCAAAAUGAGACAUAGGUACUGCAAUUUUAAUCUUAGUUUAUGAAAUGUAAAAUAUUUUCGAUAGUUAUAAUUAAACCCAAAUAGCGUUAUCUUAUGCAUAAAUAACUCAUUCCUUAGUGCUACACUUUUUGAGAUCUGCCAUUGAUACAUAAUUUCUAGUCUCAGUUUGGACCGGUUUAAUUAUAAAAAUAUGUGAAUUGUGUGGUGUGAUUGAAAUUUUGUUCAAAAAUGCUCGCUAUAUUAGCCAAGUAAGAUAUUCAAUACAUUUCGAAAUGUAAACCCAUAUUGUGAUAUUAAAUAAUAUCAUUCGUUUUCAAAA